rnacentral:lncRNA from 1 species
UUUUUUUUUUUUUUUUUUUUUUUUUAGCUGCUCAGAAAUCCAUUCUAUACAUUUUUGGAUGAAAAGAAAAAAAGUUUUUUGAAGAGAUUGCCAAUUCAGAGGUUUAUCAUGGUGGUAUGAGCCACGGACUACAGGGCAACUGGAUUAAUAAUUCCUCGGAGAAAACGUACCAUAAUGAAUUACACAGCAUCUUCUGGCUCUGAAAGGGAGGACACAUUUCCAUUCAGAGGCUAAGAGACAAGCAGUGAAAGGGAAAAAUUCCAACCCCAGGCAAAGAGCAGCAGGUGACACUACAUUUGUGUGAAACGAGUCCAGAAACAGAUAUAUAUAUAUAUAUAUAUAUCCUUUCCAAGAAAAGCCACCUCCUGAGGAAUGCUACUUAGGGUUGAGGUGACCAUUCAGAAGCAGAACGUACAUAAAAUUUAUCUUACACUGAAAACCUCCUGUUUUGCUCUAAAUAUCCAAUUAGAUUAAUAACCCACUUCAUAUAUUGAUCCUUUUUGGGUAAUAAUGAUUUUUAGUUUGUCCAUUAUAGCUGGUUUACAGUAGUCUGUCAAUUUCCUGCUGUACAGCAAGGCGACCCAGUCACACAUACAUGUAUACAUUCUUUUUUCUCACAUUAUCAUGCUCCAUCAUAAGUGACUUAGAUAUAGUUCCCAGGGCUAUACAGCAGGAUCUCAUUGCGUCUCCUCAAAUAUCGAUCUUUCAUCCUUACGCUACUUCCCCUAUCUUACUAAACAGCUCUUGCAAGUUUUAUAAGAUGUCAUAAACUGGAAUACCUGCCUACAGAGAACAUCACUUUAGUUGCCUCCUUUGUUGUCAUUACAGCAUCAGAAAGGCAUAAAGAGAGUGUUUCUCUGCGGGACAAAGAGGCACUGCCAUCAAUUAAGGCAAACAAAGGAUGAAUGACCAUUUGAUAACUAUCUCUUUCCAAAGUACCCAAAACUGUCUUUAGGGAAGAAUCAAGAAAAUAAUAUAUAGCUUCCCCUUGUGCCCUAACUUUUCUCUAGUCAGAGGGGAAAAAAAGUUAGGAAAUCCCUUGAAAAAUUCACUCGCAGGCAACUGGUACUUUGAAAGUUCGUCCAUCAACAGCAGACACAGGCAUGUCCUCAUUAGGCCACUAAAUAAAAGCCAUUCCCAAGACACAGCUCUCAAAAGAGGACUCUCAUGUCUGCUUAUUUGGGGUGUCCUCCAGACCUCCCAUCAUCCCUUUAUUUUCAGCUAGAGACAUCACACAAAUCUUAGCAAGAGAGUAAACGCAAAGAAAAACAUUCCACUGUACCUCAAUAGAGUAUCCUAAGGGUAGUAUUGUCUUGGAAGUUUGUUUUAUUUUGUUCAAGUGUAGUUGAUUUACAAUGUUCUGUCCAUUUCAGCUGUAGAGCAGUGUCCCAGGUCCACAGUAUAUACAUACACAUUCUUUUUCUAUUAGCUUCCCCCUCAUGCUCUAUCCCAAGUGAUUGGGUAUAGUUCCCUGUGCUGUACAGCUGGACCUCGCUGCUGAUCCAUCCUAAACGUCACAGCUAUCUACACAACAGAAAGGGACUCACAGACAUGGAGAACAGACUUGUGGUUGCCAAGGGGAAGGGGGCAUGGGGCAGAGAUGGACUGAGAGUUUGGGAUUAGGAGAUGUCUUUUUUUCUUUGUAUUUUUGCUUUUUAGGGCUGCACCUGCGGCAUAUGGAGGUUCCCAGGCCAGGUAUCAAAUCGGAGCUGUAGCUGCUGGCCUGCACCACAGUCACAGCAAUGCAGGAUCCGAUCCUGAUCUGCAACCUACACCACAGCUCAUGGCAACGCCAAAGCCUUAACUCACUGAGCAAGGCCAGGGAUCGAACCUGCAUCCUCCUGGAUUCAUUAACCACUGAGGGAGGUCGGAAAGUCCUAGAUGUCUUUUCAAGUUUGCCAAAAGGAUGGUGGGACACAGAAAAGGAUACGCAGCUCACACGCAACAUAACCUUUAAAAAUGAAUAAAGUAAUUAAAAUCCCCACUAUUAACACGUCUAAAAAUAGGUUCCAAAUCCAUUUGGCAUGGUAGUGAAUAAGAUCAUUCUGACUUCGGCAAAACUCUUUGAGAGCAACAAUGUUACACGGUUCCAUUACACCAAACAAAACUACCAGCUCGGCCUUUUAAUUGGGCAAGAAGAGAAAGCACCCACAUGUUCAGAAGAGCCCAGGAUUUCAUGUUAUCAUUUCCUGCAAGAAAUUAGCUACCUGCCCUACCAUAAAUAUUAAGAGGAAUCCUUCAGAGUGAAAUUAAAAGAUACUAGAGAGCCACUCAAAUUCAUCCAAAGAAAUAAAAAUCCCUAAUAAAGUGACUAAAUAUAGGUAAAUAUUAAAAAAAAAAAGAAAAGAAAGAAAUUAGCUUCCCAGCCUUGAAAAGGAAAACAACUGGGGAUCUUGGUACACCUGCAGAGCAGGGAAAAUUCUCACUUCCCAACACAGAUGGGAAACAAACAGCCACAGAAUACUCUCAAAGAGCUCCAGACUGCCACCUUCUUCUUUUUNCGCUCCAGCGGCAUAGGGAGGUUCCCAGGCGAGGGCGGCGCUGGAAAAGGCAAAAAGACCAAAAAAAAAAAAGGGGGGGGGGGUACUCUACAAAACAGCUGUAACCUGGGGACGGGACGAAGAGGCCUGGAUUUUCGUCACUUAACUUCCCCAAGUCUCUGCUCCUUCAUCUGUAAAAUUAACGCGGCUUACGGCACUUGCAGCUCCCAACUUCUGCAAUUAGUUUCCUUCCUAGAUUGUUCUCUCAAAUCCAAUCUUCAAAAGCUCCACCUUCUUUUAACCUCCGUAUUGUUUUGGCUUUUGCCCUUGGGUGUCCAGAGGAAGAGUCUUUUGUGUAAAAGAGAGCCCCCAAUGGUUUCCAGGGGCCCGAGGGUUAAGGCAGGUCUCUCUGGGAGCAGGACGUGCACAAUCAAACUCAGACAGCAGCUGCUGAGUUGGAGCUAAUCCUAAAAGUCCUCCUCUUUCUCUCACAGUGAAACUGCCUGGCACCAGUCCUGUUCCGGCUGUUUGGACCUUAUGUUUUCGGCACAUGGCAAACCACAUCUUCAGUGGAUUCAACUCUCAAAAUGCCAAUGGAUUUCUCUGUUUUGCUUUUGCAAGCUGGCUCUCCAGAAGCAAAUACUUAAAAAACAUAAGCACGCACAGUGUCCACUGCCUGAUCGAUAGCUAAACAGCUUGGGAAUGAAAAAAAGAGAGACUCUUGGAAGGGCAAGGAGCUAGGUCUCCUUACAAAGGGAUUAUUAUUGUCCCUCUGUUCACUCUGACGACACUAUUUCAUGAAGCAACAAAAGCGAGGAAAAGAACAAAAAUCACCUAUUUAUGUAUUUUGCUUUUUAGGGCCACACCCACAGUAUAUGGAGGUUCCCAGGCUAGGGGUCGAAUCAGAGCUACAGCUGCCAGCCUAUGCCACAGCCACAGCAACACGGGAUCUGAGCCGUGUCUGUGACCUAAACCACAGCUCUCGGGCAAUGACGGAUCCUUAACCCACUGAGCGAGGCCAGGGAUCGAACCCUCAUCCUCAUGGAUAUUAGUCAGGUUCAUUACUUCCGAGCCACAACGGGAACUCCCCCCAAAUCACCUAUUUAGGAAUGGCUACGUUGACGGAUCCCAUACUAAUUCCUCAUACUGAUCAAGUAUUUCCACCAAAUCACAACCUUUCUCAAUGUCACUUCCACCAGCCUCUGAAGUGAAAGCAAUUCCACCUGGUUUUCCAGUAAAGAGAAUGUGACUAACAGCUAAACUUUGUAAAACGGGCUCUAUUUGUAGGUUCAAGAGAGCUUUUUAAAAGGUGUGCUUUUAAAAGUAAAAAGGUUGUCAUUGCAAGGUUUUCUUGGCAGGACGCUUCUAUCAACUCUACCUGGCAAAAGUCUUCUUGUUCCAGGAAGUCCUAUGAGAAAAAUGAAGAGGAUGUGUUAUGAGAAUCACUUAGUUGCAGAUAACAACUGUGGACCAUGUCAGUGGCCAGGAAAAAUUCUAAGAACCUAUCAAUUUGUUCAUAUAAUUAAUGUUACACUACUCCUUCUAAAAAUAACAUAAAUUAGUAUGUCUUUCACAUAGAAAAUGUAAGUUUAUUUAUAUACCUUGCUUUUUAGGGCCACACCUAUGGCAUAUGGAGGUUCCCAGGCUAGGGGUCCAAGCAGAACUACAGCUGCCGGCCUAUAUCACAGCCACAGCAAUGCAGGAUCCGAGCCGCAUCUGCGACCUACACCACAGCUCAUGGCAACGCCGGAUCCUUAACCCACUGAGCGAGGCAUGGGAUCGAACCCGAAAACUCAUGGUUCCUAGUCAGAUACAUUUCCACUGUGCCACAAUGGGAAUUCCAUAAAAUGUAAAUUUAGAUUUUUUUUUUUCUCCCCGAGGUAUCCAAGGCAAAGAGGUAUCUUUUAACAAUAUAUGAAAUCUAUUUUGCUGUUGCUUUAAAUUUUCCCAGAAUCCUGCUUUCAUUCAAAUCACUGUUCAAGAAUACACUUAAAAAAAAAAAAAAUACUUCCUUGCUAAAAACUAUUUAUCAUUUAGAAAGAUUUCUCCACGGUGGGGCAUGAAGAAACUAUGGAGAGGGAGUUCUCAUUGUGGCUCAACAGAAACAAACCCGACGCGUAUCCAUGAGGAUGAGGGUUCAACCUCUGGCCUCGCUCAGCAGGUUAAGGACCUGGCAUUGCCCUGAGCUGUGGUGUAGGUCGCAGAUGAGGCUUGGAUCCCAAGUUGCUUGUAGGCCAGCAGCUUCAGCUCCAGUUCCACCCCUAGCCUAGGAACUUGCAUAUGCUGCAGAGGCAGCCACAAAAAAAAAAAAAAAAAAACCAAAAAAGAAAAAGAAACCAUGGGGAGUAAACUCUACCAAUAAACUGGCUUGAUACUUUGGAAUUUGAAGACUUUACAAAAAGUGGGGGGGGGGAAUAAAUAACGUAUAAAGUCAGCUUCAUGAUCUGGGUCUACUAUCUAGGGAACUGGAAGAGUUCUUUUUAUCCCAAGGAAGUAAUGAAUGCCGCACUGGGGCUCAGCCUCCAUUCACAAGUGCUUAAAUGAAACUCCCUUCCCCUCCCCAAAAAGGCUCUCAUGGCCAACAGGCAGGGCCUGCAGGCUGGGACCUGGGACCCUUUGCUGCAAUGCUUGCACCUGGAUAAAUGCGUCCCCUUGAGCAACAAAAUACAAAAACAUUACAAGGGACGAAAAAUAACUGCAUGCAUGCACACUUGGGGCAAAUUAUGAGUAAGAAACAAAAAGACCAAAAACUCAUCUGUCACUUCUGAGAAGUCAGGUGCAAAAGCAAGGUACUAUUCAUGCACACGGCACCACCAAGGGGGUGGGCAGACCACCUAAGCCACCCCUUCGGCCUCCCCCGCUAGACCCACCCCUACCCUCACCGCAUAUAAAGAAUCAGCUUGCCCCACCUUGGGGGAGCAAGCAAAGAAAGCUUUCACUUGUUUUCACUCCCUUGUGCUGCAGUAGGAGCCCCAACAAAGCCUUGCCUGCAUUUCCUGCCUGGGCUCUUAUCAAUUUCUUUCUUUUUUUUAUAUAAUUCUUUUUUUUUUUUCCACUGUACAGCAUGGGGACCAAGUUACACUUGCACGCAUACAUUUUUUCCCCCACCAUUUGUUCUAUUGCAAUAUAAGUAUCUAUUGAUGAAGGUGAACAAGAACCCUGGCUGGUAACAGUCCUACUGCAGAGGGCCACACCUGAAGCCACAACCUCCCCAAAUAUGCUUGAUACAGGCUCCUGGGACUCACUGCAUCUGCUCAAGGGCUCUGCAGUGAGGUUGUUGGAUGGAGUUUGUUGAGUGUGGGCUGGUUUUGUGUGUGUGCUUUUAGGUGGAAGACAUUAAAAUCAAACCAUCCAAAGCACUGUAACAAAUUAGCAAGACAAGGCAGGCGCAGCACACUUCCUGACCAAAAAAAGCAGAUGGACUCCCUCCAAAUGUCCCACUGGAAGAUGCUGCCAGACUUCAGAUCAAGGAAAAAAAAAAAAUUUAGUGGAUUGAAACUAACAACUUAAGAGGUGAACCGUAUUACUCCUAAUUAUUAUCACGACUCUAUUCAUGCAUCAGCUGUGAACAAUUACAAGCCCGUAUUUCUAAAAUUCCCACAGACCCAAGAAUAAAAUUAAGACAUUUCUAAAAGAAGUUUCAGCUAUUUAUCCGUAAAUUAACUGCUCUCAAGAUAAGGCAGUCUAACUAUAUUCCCAAAGCAUACAAGUGUCACAGCAGAAUCUCCUGUUUCCCUUUUUCUAUGUCAUCCAUUUUAUCAUUAAGAAUUAAAAUAUCCAAGGAGCAUUAUGAGAGCACAUGACUAGGCUUUUUAUACCAUUUCAUGAAGAGAACUGGCCACGUCAAUCCCACCAUUUAUUUGCUUCCCAGUCUCUUCUUCAAUAAGAAAGUAUGAGAACAUUAGCAGGAUAUGUCUUUACUCCCUUGGGUAUGA